AAUAUUGCGCAAUGGAGGGAACUCUGACGCAGCGACGCCGCGUGAGCGAUGAAGGUCUUCGGAUCGUAAAGCUAUGUCCUUUGGUAAGAAGGUCUUCGGACUUGAUGGUACCUAAGGAGGAAGUUCCGUCUAACUACGUGCCCGCAGCCGCGGUAAUACGAAGGGGGUAAGCGUUGUCCGGAAUUAUUGGGCGUAAAGGGUGCGUAGGCGGCCUUUUAAGUCAGAUGUGAAAGCACACGGCUUAACCGUGGGACUGCAUUUGAAACUGGAGGGCUUGAGUAUCGGAGAGGGUAGUGGAAUUCCCAGUGUAGCGGUGGAAUGCGUAGAUAUUGGGAGGAACACCAGUGGCGAAGGCGACUACCUGGACGAAAACUGACGCUGAGGCACGAAAGCUAGGGGAGCAAACA
rnacentral:rRNA from 1 species